rnacentral:sRNA from 1 species
UUUUUUUGUUUUUCAUAUGCAAAGAGAACAACAAUUGUAUCAUGGACAAUACAGAACUUCUUUAUUUUCAUCUAAAUAGCAAUGCUAAAGAGAGCUUCUAAGGAAAAAAGUGUCUAAGAUGUAUUCGGCUGUUUCAAAAAAAU